rnacentral:tRNA from 1 species
UAGGUCAGUGGUAGAAUCCUUAUCUGCCACGUAAGAGACCUGGGUUCAAUUCCCAG